UACGUAGGGUGCGAGCGUUGUCCGGAAUUAUUGGGCGUAAAGGGCUCGUAGGCGGUCUGUUGCGUCGGGAGUGAAAACUUACAGCUUAACUGUGAGCGUGCUUCCGAUACGGGCAGACUUGAGGUAUUCAGGGGAGAACGGAAUUCCUGGUGUAGCGGUGAAAUGACGCAGAUAUCUGGAGGAACACCGGUGGCGAAGGCGGCAUCCUGGACCGGUAUUGACGCUGAGGCGCGAAAGCCAGGGGAGCAAACGGG
rnacentral:rRNA from 1 species